UCCCCUACGGGGCGCAGCAGUAGGGAAUCUUCGGCAAUGGACGAAAGUCUGACCGAGCAACGCCGCGUGAGUGAAGAAGGUUUUCGGAUCGUAAAACUCUGUUGGUAGAGAAGAACGUUGGUGAGAGUGGAAAGCUCAUCAAGUGACGGUAACUACCCAGAAAGGGACGGCUAACUACGUGCCAGCAGCCGCGGUAAUACGUAGGGCACGAGCGUUGUCCGGAUUUAUUGGGCGUAAAGCGAGCUCAGGUGGUUUAUUAAGUCUGGAGUAAAAGGCAGUGGCACAACCAUUGUAUGCAUUGGACA
rnacentral:rRNA from 1 species